CUGAAGCCCCUCAGAUAGCCUGGAUGUCUGACUGCAGAAGAGCAGCUGGAACAGCAGCUCAGUGAGUUGAGGAAUAUUGUGGUUGGCUCCAGCAGUCAGGCACAUAACAGGAGUCCACGGCUGCGUGAUUGUUCCGUGGAAAACGUGAGCAGAAAGAGGAAUGUGAACUGAACGAGCUGCAGUCUAAACCUCGUGAAGAAGGAAUACGCUGGGAAUUGUCACUCAGGAUAUCCCCGUUCCGUCAGGGAAUCGCCUGUUUUUUGCAGUCAAGAAUAACUUCAGAAGACCAGCACCAUGAUGACUGCACGUGAAAAAAUCAAGAAGAAACCGCCCAAAGACAGUCUGACGCUGCUACCAUGCUUCUAUUUUGUAGAGCUACCCAUUGUGGCGUCCUCCAUGGUGUCACUGUACUUUCUGGAACUGACGGAUGUGCUCCAGCCGGCGCAGGUGGGAUUCCGCUGCCAUGACCGGUCACUCAGCAUGCCGUUCGUGGACAGCGGUGAUGAGCUCAUCCCUCUGCUCAUGCUCCUGAGUCUGGCGUUCGCCGGCCCUGCUGCCUCUGUGAGAUGAAAGCAAUCACGACAACUUCAUUGCAUUUAAUUCUUUGUAACAUUUGUGACCUAAAUAG